rnacentral:misc_RNA from 1 species
UCACCCCUCAAGCCCGGCUUGUUGUUGGACGUCGGCGGCGGCCUUCAGUGGCGUACCGCCCGUCUCAAAGAUAAUGACGGCGUCUGUGAGGACACCUGUACACUGAGCUUCCGGGCACGUACUAGGCUGACACUCGCAGACCCGGUCUCUAGGGUUCGCCUCGGCGACCCUAACUUUUUACCAA